rnacentral:rRNA from 1 species
UCCACCGAUUGACUAAGGUUUCCAGAGGAAGGCUCGUCCGCUCUGGGUUAGUCGGGUCCUAAGCUGAGGCCGACAGGCGUAGGCGAUGGAUAACAGGUUGAUAUUCCUGUACCACCUAUAAUCGUUUUAAUCGAUGGGGGGACGCAGUAGGAUAGGCGAAGCGUGCGAUUGGAUUGCACGUCUAAGCAGUAAGGCUGAGUAUUAGGCAAAUCCGGUACUCGUUAAGGCUGAGCUGUGAUGGGGAGAAGACAUUGUGUCUUCGAGUCGUUGAUUUCACACUGCCGAGAAAAGCCUCUAGAUAGAAAAUAGGUGCCCGUACCGCAAACCGACACAGGUAGUCAAGAUGAGAAUUCUAAGGUGAGCGAGCGAACUCUCGUUAAGGAACUCGGCAAAAUGACCCCGUAACUUCGGGAGAAG